rnacentral:rRNA from 1 species
AGGACGAACGCUGGCGGCGUGCUUAACACAUGCAAGUCGAGCGGACCCUUCGGGGUUAGCGGCGAACGGGUGAGUAACACGUGGGCAACCUGCCCCAGGCUCUGGAAUAACUCCGGGAAACCGGGGCUAAUGCCGGAUAUUCACAUUCUCGGGCAUCUGGGGGGUGUGGAAAGAUUUAUCGGUCUGGGAUGGGCCCGCGGCCUAUCAGCUUGUUGGUGGGGUGAUGGCCUACCAAGGCGACGACGGGUAGCCGGCCUGAGAGGGGCGAGUCGGACCGACGACUGGGACUGAGACACGGCCCAGACUCCUACGGGAGGCAGCAGUGGGGAAUAUUGCGCAAUGGGCGAAAGCCUGACGCAGCGACGCCGCGUGAGGGAUGACGGCCUUCGGGUUGUAAACCUCUUUCAGCAGGGACGAAUCUGACGGUACCUGCAGAACGAAGCACCGGCCAACUACGUGCCAGCAGCCGC